UACGGGGGGAGCAAGCGUUGUUCGGAAUCACUGGGCGUAAAGGGCGUGUAGGCGGUUUGGUAAGUGGGAUGUGAAAUGCCUCGGCUCACCCGAGGACCGGCAUCCCAAACUGCCAAGCUUGAGUAUGGGAGAGGAUGUGGGAAUUCCUGGUGUAGCGGUGAAAUGCGUAGAUAUCAGGAGGAACACCGGUGGCGAAGGCGCACAUCUGGCCCAAUACUGACGCUGAGGCGCGAAAGCUAGGGGAGCAAACGGG
rnacentral:rRNA from 1 species